UACGGAGGAUCCAAGCGUUAUCCGGAUUUAUUGGGUCUAAAGGGUGCGUAGGCGGAUUGAUAAGUCAGUGGUGAAAGCCUGCAGCUUAACUGCAGAACUGCCAUUGAUACUGUCAGUCUUGAGUAUAUUUGAAGUGGGCGGAAUGUGCAGUGUAGCGGUGAAAUGCUUAGAUAUUGCACAGAACACCAAUUGCGAAGGCAGCUCACUAAACUAUAACUGACGCUGAGGCACGAAAGUAUGGGGAUCAAACAGG
rnacentral:rRNA from 1 species